GAUGAACGCUAGCGAUAGGCUUAACACAUGCAAGUCGAGGGGCAGCAUGGUCUUAGCUUGCUAAGACUGAUGGCGACCGGCGCACGGGUGCGUAACGCGUAUGCAACUUGCCUCACAGAGGGGGAUAACCCGUCGAAAGACGGACUAAUACCGCGUACACUCCAUCUUGGGCAUCCAAGGUAGAGGAAAUGAAAUUCGCUGUUAGAUAGGCAUGCGUCCCAUUAGCUCGUUGGUGAGGUAACGGCUCACCAAGGCGACGAUGGGUAGGGGAACUGAGAGGUUGAACCCCCACACUGGUACUGAGACACGGACCAGACUCCUACGGGAGGAAGCAGUGAGGAAUAUUGGUAAAUGGGCGAGAGCCUGAACCAGCCAAGUCGCGUGAAGGAUGACUGUCUUAUGGAUUGUAAACUUCUUUUAUACGGGAAUAACAAGAGUCACGUGUGACUCCCUGCAUGUACCGUAUGAAUAAGCAUCGGCUAACUCCGUG
rnacentral:rRNA from 1 species